rnacentral:misc_RNA from 1 species
AACGCACAUUGCACUUCCUGGUAUUCCGGGAAGUAUGCCUGUUUCAGUAUCAUGAACAUACCUCAGGCCAAAAUUCUUUUUUUGGAUCCUGGAUCUAGGCCGAGCCGACCGACCGACCGACCGACCCGCGCGACAGCGCAAAAAGGAAAGAAGGUCGGCCAGCCUGAAACACAUCCCGAUCGCGGAUCCCUCUUUCAGGGAGUGGAAAAAAGAAAAGGCGUUGAUAGUUCGACCUUGGAGUCGAUCUUUUCGCCGAAGUAAAAAAUCCCUCCUGAUCCGCGUCGAUUAGCAGGACUAAUUUUGUUCUUCUUAAACUUGAUCUGAAAUCAGGUAGGAGUACCCGCUGAACUUAA